rnacentral:sRNA from 1 species
UGUCCCGGAGUACCACCUGUCAUCUUUGUGGGUGGUACUGACCCUAACCCAAGGAAUAUUAGAGGACAUUGCCCGGUCACCAUUGUUGUGUUUUCCUAUCACUCAAGAGUUACGCUCAAGGACACCAGACGGAGUUGGAAAGGUGCACACCACUACCUCCAACAGCUUAGAAGACAUGUGGGGACAGGGGAGAGACAGCUGGACGGUGACCUCCUCCUUUCCCCUCCACAGGUGAAGCCUCUGGGCUUCCUGAAGCCCUCCUCCUUGAUGAAGGCUUCCGGCCGCUUCAAGGCACACCAGGAUGCACUGCCACGGCUGCCCGUGCCCCCUCUCCAGCAGUCCCUGGACCACUACCUGAAGGCGCUGCAGCCCAUCGUGAGUGAGGAGGAGUGGGCCCACACCAAGCAGCUGGUGGAUGAGUUUCAGGCCUCAGGCGGCGUAGGAGAGCGCCUGCAGAAGGGGCUGGAGCGUCGGGCCAGGAAGACGGAGAACUGGAUUUGCUGCCAAACUCAUUGAGGGUGUGUUGGAUUUCAAGAUCAUGAUUGACAACGAGACCCUGCCCGUGGAGUACCUGGGGGGGAAGCCACUGUGCAUGAACCAGUACUAUCAGAUCCUGUCCUCCUGCCGAGUGCCGGGCCCCAAGCAGGACACGGUCAGCAACUUCAGCAAGACCAAGAAGCCUCCCACGCACAUCACCGUGGUACACAACUACCAGUUUUUUGAGCUGGAUGUGUACCACAGUGACGGGACACCCCUCACUGCGGAUCAGAUCUUUGUGCAGCUGGAGAAGAUCUGGAACUCAUCCCUACAGACCAACAAGGAGCCUGUGGGCAUCCUCACCUCCAACCACCGCAACUCCUGGGCCA